rnacentral:rRNA from 1 species
CUACGGGAGGCUCCAGUGAGGAAUAUUGCACAAUGGGGGGAACCCUGAUGCAGCAACGCCGCGUGGAGGAUGACGCAUUUCGGUGUGUAAACUCCUUUUAUAUGUCAAGAAAAUGACGGUAGCAUAUGAAUAAGCGCCGGCUAACUCCGUGCCAGCAGCCGCGGUAAUACGGAGGGCGCAAGCGUUACUCGGAAUCACUGGGCGUAAAGAGCGUGUAGGCGGAUUAAAAAGUCAGAAGUGAAAUCCUAUAGCUUAACUAUAGAACUGCACUUGAAACUUCUAAUCUAGAGUAUGGGAGGGGGAGAUGGAAUUAGUGGUGUAGGGGUAAAAUCCGUAGAUAUCACUAGGAAUACCUAAAGCGAAGGCGAUCUCCUGGAACAUUACUGACGCUAAGGCGUGAAAGCGUGGGGAGCAAACAGGAUUAGAUACCCCAGUAGUC